AGAGUUGAUCCUGGCUUAGGAUGAACGCUGGCGGCGUGCCUAAUACAUGCAAGUCGAACGAGGUAGCAAUACCGAGUGGCGAACGGGUGAGUAACACGUAGGUAACCUGCCCUUAAGCUUGGGAUACCCAGAGGAAACUUUGGCUAAUACCGGAUAACAACAGAGAAGGCAUCUUCUUGCUUGAAAGGCCCCUUCAAGGGUCACUUAAGGAUGGACCUGCGGCGCAUUAGCUAGUUGGUGAGAUAACAGCCCACCAAGGCGAGGAUGCGUAGCCGAACUGAGAGGUUGAUCGGCCACAUUGGAACUGAGACACGGUCCAAACUCCUACGGGAGGCAGCAGUAAGGAGUUUUCGGCAAUGGGGGAAACCCUGACCGAGCAACGCCGCGUGAGCGAUGACGGCCCUAAUGGGUUGUAAAGCUCUGUUGUAAGCCAUGAAUGAUAGCUUUAGGAAAUGAAAGCUAUUUGACGACAGCUUACCAGAAAGCCACGGCUAACUACGUGCCAGCCGCCGC
rnacentral:rRNA from 1 species